rnacentral:lncRNA from 15 species
AUACCCACCUAACACCCAGUGCAAUCCCAUAUAAGGCCCAUUUUUCAGCCCAUCUUAUACCCACAUGGGGCCCACAUAAAGAUGUUGGCUGGGACACGGUAAAAAGUAUUGUUUGUGGAAGUUUAAAACAAAAGUAUCUUCUGUCAUGAUACACUACUGUUAAUGCAAUAUGUAUCUAACAAAUGUUGUUAAUUAACAUUUGUGGGAAUUUUAAAAAAUGUUUAUACUAGACAUAGCAGUGAAAUGUUCACUGACAUAAUUGCUUAAAAUGACUAAAGAAAUAAUAAUCACAUGAAACUAGGAAUUGUUGUAUUUUCAUUACCUUAGAAUGAACCUUUUAUACUGUAUCUACAAGCGUCGCAGGCCGCCUUCCAUGGAGUCUGCCAUGAUUAACCACCAUGUUUCUACAGAAGGACAAACAUUGGCUGUAGAUAGGGCCUUUUGCCUUUUCUGUGAAUUCCGCAGCCACCAUAGUUUCUCCUAUACUCUUCACAGCCUGUUCUCAUCACAUACACAAGCAGUGUUCAGUCUGUUGCAAUCUGCAUCUUCACAACUAGAUGCCACUAAAUCCUACACUCUGGACUUUUAAAUCAUGUUAAUAAGUCUUUUUUCCAAAUAUAUGCCUACACCUGAUUAACACUUAUUUGGCCACAUUUGUGAUUAUUUGGUUACAAGUAGCUAACAGUAAAGUUUCACAUAGUUUCUUUAUUACUGAACACUUCUUUUCAUACUGCACUGCCAUACAGUACAACAACAGUGUGCUAAUUACUACCAGGUUCCCCUCUGGACCAGUUUAAUAGCUGACUGUGGAACAGUUUGACUUUUGCUCAGUGCGGGAAUCCAACCUCUGUCACAGCCUUAAAAUUCUUGUUACAAAUAAUAUCUGCACUAUUUUCUCACAUUAAAGAUCAUUUGUCGUGGCUUAAGAAACACGAUCAGACAGCAGCUCGGCAGCCUAUUACUACACUAUAGUGUUUCCGGAGACAGCCGAAUGCGGCCGAUUGCCCCCGAAGGUGUAUAUGGACGAAGUGCUGUGGAUGUUGCGCCUUCAGUGAGGAGCCACCGCGGACGGGCAGGCAGCAGGCGGAUACCACUGGCUUACCGGGAGCACUACACCGACACUGACAGACUCAAAGUCCACUGUCCCAGCAGCCGAGCGGAGGAUUUACCCGACACUCCUCACGGUGCUUUUACGGACCCUUUUUCCAACCUCGGGGAGAUUAGAGCAAGUGUUGCUGGACUGGAGGAAUUGCGAGAUUCUUUUGUAAACUGUCUGAUCUGGGGACCUCCCUGCUCUUCUUGUCUUCAACCUUCUUUUCCGAAAUGCAAACGCCCAGGAAAACCUAGAAAAUGGUGUCAGUCUAUGAUUGUGUGAGGUCGUAGCCAAUCAGCAGCAGUGUCAGGACCAGAGGACAGUGUACCAGCAGUCAGACCAUGGACCUUAGAUUCACACGGCUGUCACCUCUCACCAGGGGAGCUCUUCAUCUCCUGCUGCUGGCCAGACUGGUGCUGCCUUCUCACACAGAGAGUGAGUACUAAUAUUAUCCACAUGGCUCAGAGCUCUGCCCACAUGUUCACUUUUACAGGCAGGUAAGAUCCAUUAGCUCCUAGGGAGUCUGCAGGGACAGCUUUUAAAUGGGACUUUGUUGUGUGACUGAAAUACAGCACUGCUGCUAAGGUUUUACAUUAUUAUUGCAUCAGUUUUCAG